GUCCUUUUGAUUAUAAUUUAAGGUCUGACCUGCCCACUGAAAUUAUUUUAAAUGGCCGCAGUAAUUUGACUGUGCAAAGGUAGCAUAAUCAUUAGUUUUUUAAUUAAAAGCUUGUAUGAAGGGUUGGACGAGAUAAAAUCUGUCUCUAUUUAAUUUAUUAUAAAAUUUAAUUUUUAAGUUAAAAAGCUUAAAUUUUUUUAAAAGACGAGAAGACCCUAUAGAUCUUUAUAGUUUUGAUUUUGAAUUUAAUUAAUAAGUUUUUAGGAUUUAUGAUUUAAACUAUUUUAUUGGGGUAAUAGAAAGAUUAAAAUAAUUCUUUUUUUCUUUAAACAUUUAUUUAUGUUUUUAAUGAUCCAAUUUUAUUGAUUAUAAGAUUAAGUUACCUUAGGGAUAACAGCGUAAUUUUUUUAGAGAGUUCUUAUCGAUAAAAAAGUUUGCGACCUCGAUGUUGGAUUAAAGAUUAGUUUAGGUGUAGAAGUUUAAAUUUUUGGUCUGUUCGACCAUUAAAUCUUUACA
rnacentral:rRNA from 2 species